AAAAAAAAAAAAAAAGAUGAAAAUUUCAAUCUCUGGAUGUCCAAGCUAGGGCUUCAAUUUGAGAUUUUUCAUGCCUCCUGAGAAAACACAUUUGGGGAUUUUGAAUUUCAUGUCUUCAACAAAGAUGACAUCUUCAAAAAACGAAAAAAAUUCAUGCAUUCUCGGGAUCUAGAUCACCAUUCCAACAUGGAUUUUUGGAUUUUCAACCUAAUUUUCUGUUUUUUGUUUUUAAUUUUUUAACGAUCAAGGGUAUUUUAGUGAUUAUUGAAUGAUAAUAUCCUUUUGGUCAAUUUCCACCAAUUUGUUAGGUCUUGGGCUCAAAUUUGGGUGUUAUGUGAAUCUUGGCCCAGCAAGGCUAAAAGCAUAGUUGUCCCAUAGAUAAAUUCAAAACACCUGGGGUUAAACCCUCUCCUCCCUCUUCAAUUGAUUUUGCCAUGUACAAACGUCACCCUCCUUGCUAUUGCCCCACCACCGGUGGCGGUGGUGGCAGGGCAGUGCUGCCACCACGAUCACUACCUCCAACUCCUAAUAAUUUUGUCCAUAAAGAAAUCCCUACAUCCAAAAUCCUACUUCCCAAGCCAACCCUCCCAUACCUCCAAAACCCUAAUUUGCCAAUUCAAAACCCUAGUUUUCUGAUAAAAAAUACUAAUUUUACAGGGUUCAGGCCUCAACCUCCUAAGCAGAGCAAGGAGGCUUUGGACAGGGUCGAUGGUGCUGUCGUCAAGGCUCACCACAACAUUAUUGCUGCCUGUGAAAGUGUAUCAGCGUGGAAGGUGUCUCAAUCGUUGUUGUUGGCACUCCACGUUGAUUCUUGGAAUCGUUAGGGUUUCAGAUGCAGGAGGUUUUGUCUCAUCACAGCCUUAUAGUCAUAGAGGGAAAGUGUGCAUGUUACUUUUGUUUGUGAAGCUAGGAAAUGAGGACAUGUGACUUUAAAUGUCACGGGUCACUUCAAACAGAUUUCUGAUAAGAAAAUCAAGAAGCACCCUCUUCUGUCGUCACAGAAAAAUAAGUUGGAUGACUGCUCCAGUGCCAUAUCCCAGUGUGUCAAGUCAUUUGCCUCAGAGCAUGAUGAUUUUGGUCGUAAACACACAAUAUUUGUUUCAUCAUCUUCAGAGGAGGAUGGUAGUGAUGAUCAUAAAUAUGAAAAGAGCGAGGAAGACAUUGAUGGGUGCAGCAAUAGCAAUUUUUCAUCACCAAAUACCAAAACUUGUGACAGUGCUGCCCUUAUCCAUCAUCAAUUGAAGAGAUGACCCGAUUUGGAUUGAAAGGUGAAACAGAGGGAAACCCUUCUGCUAGUGGCAGUUCAAUGCACAGUGAGAAUACUAGGCCCUUUAGAAGGAAAAGAAAGUCCAGCAACCCAAGUUGCACUGUUCCAAAAUACCUCAAAUUGCCUAAAAGAAGUAAAUUAUAACUGGAUCCUCUUUCAGUGGACUGUGAAAAUGAGAAAAAAGAGCUUGGCAAUCUGAAUGAAGCAGAUUUUUUGCUUGCUAAUGAUUCUAUGAGAAUGUUCAUCACAACCUGGAAGGAGGCAUGUUGAGAGCACAGCAUAGCUGAGGUAUGUUCAUGCUCCUACCCUGAAGUAUAAUUUAAUGACUAAACAAUACUUUCAAGUAAUAUGUAUCAACCCUUUCUUUGUAGCUUUGUAUUUCUUUUUGCACUAUGCUUCUCUUGAUCUUAUGUUCUUGAUAAAUAUUAAUGAAGACAUCUAUUAGUUCAAGCA